rnacentral:rRNA from 1 species
UGGGGAAUAUUGGACAAUGGGCGAAAGCCUGAUCCAGCCAUGCCGCGUGUGUGAAGAAGGUCUUCGGGUUGUAAAGCUCUUUUGCCGGGGACGAUAAUGACGGUAGCGCAGGAAUAAGUCUCGGCUAACUACGUGCCAGCAGCCGCGGUAAAACGUAGGAGACGAACGUUAUCCGGAGUUACUGGGCGUAAAGGGCGUGUAGGCGGUUUGUUAAGUCUGGCGUGAAAGCUCUCGGCUAAACCGGGAGAGGUCGUUGGAUACUGGCGAACUAGAGGAUGGUAGAGGCGUGUGGAAUUCCGGGUGUAGUGGUGAAAUGCGUAGAGAUCCGGAGGAACACCAGUGGCGAAGGCGACACGCUGGGCCAUACCUGACGCUAAAGCGCGACAGCAUGGGGAGCAGACGGGAUUAGAUACCCAAGUAGUCCCUGAGCGGGCUGGCAAGGCGC